AAUAACAUUUAUUUAUUGAAUGUAAGCACCUGAACCUUUAUAUUAAAGGUUUACAAGUGAUUACAAUACAUGUUUUUGCAAUUACAGACUGUCGUGGGUGGUGAAAAAUUUGUCAUGUUGACGCAAUAGAUCAUUUUUACACCCGUAUUAAAUAAUUACGGAUGUCGGCCGUGAACACACAGGCACUUGUCUCAGAAAAUAAAUUUCCUAUAUACCUUAUUAUAAUAAGGUAUAUAGGAAUUUUUUUUUCUGAGACAAGUGCCUGUGCGUGAACACUUGAAAACGCGUGAUCUUAAUAAUUAUGUUUAAUUAAAUUUAAGAUGUAACAUUUUUUAAUAUUGUAAAUGAAUGCAUUCAUUUAACUUUUAAUGUUGGCUAUAUAAAUUGCAUUUGAGUGAGGCAGGGAAAAAUAUAUAUAUAUAACUAGAAUCUAUGUCUUUUCUCGUUUUCCGUUUACUGUCAUGUCAUUGUCCAUUCAUUUUUGCCAGACUCAUGCGUUUGACUUUCCAUCUUUAUUUUUCACUUAGUCUAUAAUUCGAGAGCCUUUUAUAAAAAAAAUAUUACACACCAGAAGACUUUGUUAAAAGAUAAAGUUUGAAUAUUAUAGCAGAAAAAGGCCAGUGUACCUGAAGUACAUUUGAAGACCAGGUUAUAUAUAUUACAUGAAUACAGCAUAAUAAAGCUGGUUUAAUUUGAAUUACUAUCCAUUAGGGAAAUUUUCUGACGAUAAUUAAUCAAAUCUGACAAGUUUGAUUAAAAACGGAAAAUAAGCCCGUAAACGAUUUAACGUUACCGUACCCUCUUUACUUGUCGCAUGUCGGCAUCUUCAAAUGGCAAAUUUAUUUUACACAAAUUCGUUGACAUGCCAUGAUGGUAGAUGGACACUACAGCACAAUAUAAGCUGAGCUGGAAAUUACAAUUGAUAAGAUAUCACAUUGGUUUGAGCAUGAUUCCCAGCAAGAUUAUGAAGGGGCAUAUAUAUCAUAUAUACAUAGGAAAUAUAUAGUGUCACUAAAUUACUCUCAUACGGUACCUCACCUCUGUAGCUGUAAAUUGCGAAACGGUGCAUUCAUUCAUAAUUUUGA